UACGUAGGGGGCAAGCGUUGUCCGGAAUUAUUGGGCGUAAAGGGCUCGUAGGCGGUUUGUCGCGUCGGGAGUGAAAUCCACUGGCUUAACUGGUGGCUUGCUUUCGAUACGGGCAGACUGGAGGUAUGCAGGGGGAGAACGGAAUUCCUGGUGUAGCGGUGAAAUGCGCAGAUAUCAGGAGGAACACCGGUGGCGAAGGCGGUUCUCUGGGCAUGUCCUGACGCUGAGGAGCGAAAGUGUGGGGAGCGAACAGG
rnacentral:rRNA from 1 species